UUCAUCUAAUUGUCUUGCACC
rnacentral:piRNA from 1 species